UACGUAGGGUGCAAGCGUUGUCCGGAAUUAUUGGGCGUAAAGAGCUCGUAGGCGGUUUGUCGCGUCUGCUGUGAAAACCCGAGGCUCAACCUCGGGCCUGCAGUGGGUACGGGCAGACUAGAGUGCGGUAGGGGGAGAUUGGAAUUCCUGGCGUAGCGGUGGAAUGCGCAGAUAUCAGGAGGAACACCAAUGGCGAAGGCAGAUCUCUGGGCCGUAACUGACGCUGAGGAGCGAAAGCAUGGGGAGCAAACAGG
rnacentral:rRNA from 1 species